GAGUUGUCCGGGCCAGUGGCUUCUAGUGCAGUUCCAGACGUGUCUCCUUACCCCAUGGCUGUGAGUUGAGCCCUUCUUGUGAGCCCUCCAGGUGCCUUGCGAACAGUGGAAACCAACUUCAGCCUCCCCCUCCUUGGUUGAAAGCCUCCUUAACCUCGGGCCAACCCCGUGUGGUGAGAAGCCCAAGCUGCCCAGAGAGGCCCUGUGAAGGAAGGUACAAGUAGGCAGUAUGCCAGCCUCAGCAGAGCGGGCUACCGACAGCAGGCACCCCCUUCUGGAACUGUCCAGGCUGGGCCGGGCCGGCCCUACCAACUUGUAACCAAAAGAGCCAGCUGAUCCCAGCAGCCUAGUAGACUCGUGAUACAAGUGGUGGCUGACUUAAGACGCGCUGGCUGGCUCCUGCUCCUGUUUCCCAGAAAUUGGCCGCUGGGACUGAAGGUGUUGGAGUUG